AACGAACGCUGGCGGCAGGCUUAACACAUGCAAGUCGAACGGACGUAGCAAUACGUUAGUGGCAGACGGGUGAGGAACACGUGGGAACAUCCCUUUCAGUUCGGAAUAACUCAGGGAAACUUGAGCUAAUACCGGAUACGUCCUUCGGGAGAAAGACUUAUCGCUGAAAGAUUGGCCCGCGUCUGAUUAGCUAGUUGGUGAGGUAACGGCUCACCAAGGCUACGAUCAGUAGCUGAUCUGAGAGGAUGAUCAGCCACAUUGGGACUGAGACACGGCCCAAACUCCUACGGGAGGCAGCAGUGGGGAAUAUUGGACAAUGGGCGCAAGCCUGAUCCAGCCAUGCCGCGUGAGUGAUGAAGGCCUUCGGGUUGUAAAGCUCUUUUGUCCGGGAAGAUAAUGACUGUACCGGAAGAAUAAGCCCCGGCAAACUUCGUGCCAGCAGCCGCCGCAG
rnacentral:rRNA from 1 species